rnacentral:rRNA from 1 species
UACGUAGGCAGCAAGCGUUGUUCGGAGUUACUGGGCGUAAAGGGUGUGUAGGCGGCUUCGUAAGUUCGGUGUGAAAUCUCCCGGCUUAACUGGGAGGGUGCGCCGGAAACUGGAGUGCUCGAGCGUGGGAGAGGAAAGCGGAAUUUCCGGUGUAGCGGUGAAAUGCGUAGAUAUCGGAAGGAACAUCAGUGGCGAAAAGCGGCUUCCUGGACCAGUACCGACGUUCAGGCACGAAAGCGUGGGGAGCAAACAGG